AUACGUAGGUGGCAAGCGUUGUCCGGAAUUAUUGGGCGUAAAGCGCGCGCAGGUGGUUCCUUAAGUCUCCGAUGUGAAAGCCCACGGCUCAACCGUGGAGGGUCAUUGGAAACUGGGGAACUUGAGUGCAGAAGAGGAAAGUGGAAUUCCAAGUGUAGCGGUGAAAUGCGUAGAGAUUUGGAGGAACACCAGUGGCGAAGGCGACUUUCUGGUCUGUAACUGACACUGAGGCGCGAAAGCGUGGGGAGC
rnacentral:rRNA from 1 species